rnacentral:lncRNA from 1 species
AAAGCAGUGAUGAAACUUGUGGGCUCAAAGGGGUCAUCGUCGUCGGAGUUGGAUGUGGGGUUGGGGUUAGUGGUGGGACGGAUAGGGAGAGUGGGGAGGUCGGAAGUGACGAGACAGAGAGGAGAGUGAAUCUCGGUCACAGCUAGUAAACUUCUGCACUGGGUCAAAUUGGAAAGUGAAGUGUUCACAGCCAGUAAACUUCACCGGAGAAGACGAAGUGAAUGUCGGUUGAUUGGUCAACUUUGGGAACGAAACAGUCUGUGAGUUCACUUGCCCCAAUAAUCUUUUGGACAUUUUUGCCCAUAUCAGAAUAUUUAUUCAAUUCAAGACCCUUGUAACCGGAUGAGAAACCGUUGA